AGAGAGUGCAAACGUUGUUCGGAAUUACUGGGCUUAAAGCGCACGUAGGCGGCGCCGCAAGUGUGGGGUGAAAGCCCACGGCUUACCCGUGGAAUUGCCUGGCAGACUGCGGUGCUAGAGUGUGGUAGGGGAGAGCGGAACUCCUGGUGGAGCGGUGAAAUGCGUAGAUAUCAGGAGGAACACCGGUGGCGAAGGCGGCUCUCUGGUCCACAACUGACGCUGAGGUGCGAAAGCUAGGGGAGCAAACGGGAUUAGAUACCCCGGUAGUCCUAGCUGUAAACGAUGGGCACUAGCUUGGGGUCUCCCUGUGUGAUCCCAGGUGAAGCAAAAGUGAUAAGUGCCCCGCCUGGGGAGUAUGGUCGCAAGGCUG
rnacentral:rRNA from 1 species